UACGGAGGGUGCGAGCGUUGUCCGGAAUCAUUGGGCGUAAAGGGCGCGUAGGUGGCGCGGCAAGCGUGCGGUGAAAGCUCGGGGCUCAACCCCGAGUCGGCCGUGCGAACUGCUGUGCUUGAGCACUGUAGAGGCAGGCGGAAUUCCGGGUGUAGCGGUGAAAUGCGUAGAUAUCGAGAGGAACACCUGCGGCGAAGGCGGGUAGCUGGGCCGACACUGACGCUGAGGUGCGAAAGCGUGGGGAGCAAACAGG
rnacentral:rRNA from 1 species